AAAUUGAAGAGUUUGAUCAUGGCUCAGAUUGAACGCUGGCGGCAGGCCUAACACAUGCAAGUCGAACGGUAACAGGAAGCAGCUUGCUGCUUUGCUGACGAGUGGCGGACGGGUGAGUAAUGUCUGGGAAACUGCCCGAUGGAGGGGGAUAACUACUGGAAACGGUAGCUAAUACCGCAUAACGUCGCAAGACCAAAGAGGGGGACCUUCGGGCCUCUUGCCAUCGGAUGUGCCCAGAUGGGAUUAGCUAGUAGGUGGGGUAACGGCUCACCUAGGCGACGAUCCCUAGCUGGUCUGAGAGGAUGACCAGCCACACUGGAACUGAGACACGGUCCAGACUCCUACGGGAGGCAGCAGUGGGGAAUAUUGCACAAUGGGCGCAAGCCUGAUGCAGCCAUGCCGCGUGUAUGAAGAAGGCCUUCGGGUUGUAAAGUACUUUCAGCGGGGAGGAAGGGAGUAAAGUUAAUACCUUUGCUCAUUGACGUUACCCGCAGAAGAAGCACCGGCUAACUCCGUGCCAGCAGCCGCGGUAAUACGGAGGGUGCAAGCGUUAAUCGGAAUUACUGGGCGUAAAGCGCACGCAGGCGGUUUGUUAAGUCAGAUGUGAAAUCCCCGGGCUCAACCUGGGAACUGCAUCUGAUACUGGCAAGCUUGAGUCUCGUAGAGGGGGGGUAGAAUUCCAGGUGUAGCGGUGAAAUGCGUAGAGAUCUGGAGGAAUACCGGUGGCGAAGGCGGCCCCCUGGACGAAGACUGACGCUCAGGUGCGAAAGCGUGGGGAGCAAACAGGAUUAGAUACCCUGGUAGUCCACGCCGUAAACGAUGUCGACUUGGAGGUUGUGCCCUUGAGGCGUGGCUUCCGGAGCUAACGCGUUAAGUCGACCGCCUGGGGAGUACGGCCGCAAGGUUAAAACUCAAAUGAAUUGACGGGGGCCCGCACAAGCGGUGGAGCAUGUGGUUUAAUUCGAUGCAACGCGAAGAACCUUACCUGGUCUUGACAUCCACGGAAGUUUUCAGAGAUGAGAAUGUGCCUUCGGGAACCGUGAGACAGGUGCUGCAUGGCUGUCGUCAGCUCGUGUUGUGAAAUGUUGGGUUAAGUCCCGCAACGAGCGCAACCCUUAUCCUUUGUUGCCAGCGGUCCGGCCGGGAACUCAAAGGAGACUGCCAGUGAUAAACUGGAGGAAGGUGGGGAUGACGUCAAGUCAUCAUGGCCCUUACGACCAGGGCUACACACGUGCUACAAUGGCGCAUACAAAGAGAAGCGACCUCGCGAGAGCAAGCGGACCUCAUAAAGUGCGUCGUAGUCCGGAUUGGAGUCUGCAACUCGACUCCAUGAAGUCGGAAUCGCUAGUAAUCGUGGAUCAGAAUGCCACGGUGAAUACGUUCCCGGGCCUUGUACACACCGCCCGUCACACCAUGGGAGUGGGUUGCAAAAGAAGUAGGUAGCUUAACCUUCGGGAGGGCGCUUACCACUUUGUGAUUCAUGACUGGGGUGAAGUCGUAACAAGGUAACCGUAGGGGAACCUGCGGUUGGAUCACCUCCUUA
rnacentral:rRNA from 1 species